rnacentral:rRNA from 1 species
AUUCCAGCUCCAAUAGUGUAUAUUAAAGUUGUUGCAGUUAAAAAGCUCGUAGUUGGAUUUCUGGCGGGAGCGAUCGGUCCUUCACUCAGUGUUGGAACCUGAUUGUCUCCUGCCAUCCAUGGAGAAAACUUAUCUGGCAUUAAGUUGUCGGGUAGGCAAUCUCCAUCUUUUACUGUGAAAAAAUUAGAGUGUUCAAAGCAGGCUUAUGCCGUUGAAUAUAUUAGCAUGGAAUAAUAAGAUAGGACUAUGGUACUAUUUUGUUGGUUUCUAGAGCUGAGGUAAUGAUUAAUAGGGAUAGUUGGGGGUGCUAGUAUUGAGCGGCCAGAGGUGAAAUUCUUGGAUUCGCUCAAGACUAACUUAUGCGAAAGCAUUCACCAAGGAUGUCUUCAUCG